rnacentral:rRNA from 1 species
GUAGUCAUAUGCUUGUCUCAAAGAUUAAGCCAUGCAUGUCUAAGUAUAAGUUCUGUACUGCGAAACUGUGAAUGGCUCAUUAUAACAGUUAUUAUUCCCUGGCCGGUCAGUGAUUCCUUGGAUACCCAUGGUAAUUCUAGAGCUAAUACAUGCUUAAAAACCCGACUUCUUGAAGGGUUGCGCUUAUUAGAUACCGAACCAACCCAGGCUCUGUCUGGUUUUCGUUGAUUCAUAGUGUUCUGGCGAAUCGACUCGCAAGAGUCGAUGAGGCUAUCAAGUUUCUGACCUAUCAGCUUCCGACGGUAGGAUAUUGGCCUACCGUGGCUUUGACGGGUAACGGAGAAUUAGGGUUCGAUUCCGGAGAGGGAGCCUGAGAAACGGCUACCACAUCUAAGGAAGGCAGCAGGCGCGUAAAUUACCCAAUCCUGACACAGGGAGGUAGUGACAAGAAAUAUCAAUAUAAGACGUUUCUGUCUUGUAAUUGGGAUGAGCGAAACAUAAACCGCUUCUCGAGUAUCAAUUGGAGGGCAAGUCUGGUGCCAGCAGCCGCGGUAAUUCCAGCUCCAAUAGCGUAUAUUAAAAUUGUUGCGGUUAAAACGCUCGUAGUUGGAUAUCUGCCAAGGAGUUUCGGUCCUCCCCAGUAGAGAAUACGCGGAACAUUUCUUGGCACUUGUUCAGGGAAGGUGUUUGCACUUUGUUGUGCGUCACGUGAUCUGAAUUUUUACUUUGAGGAAAUGAGAGUGUUUCAAGCAGGCUUUUGCCGUGAAUAUGAUAGCAUGGAAUAAUAGCACAGGACCCCUUUCCAAAGCUGUUGGUUUUUGGAACGAGGUAAUCAUAAUAAGGACAGUUGGGGGUAUUCGUAUUUAACUGUCAGAGGUGAAAUUCUUGGAUUUUUUAAAGACGAACUAUUGCGAAGGCAUCUGCCCAGGAUGUUUUUGUUGAUCAAGAACGAAAGUUAGGGGAUCGAAGACGAUCAGAUACCGUCCUAGUCUUAACCUUAAACUAUGCCGACUGGAGAUUGGAGUCGUCAGUCCUUGACGUCUUCAGCAUCCUGAGAGAAAUCUAAGUCUUUGGGUUCCGGGGGGAGUAUGGUCGCAAGGCUGAAACUUAAAGGAAUUGACGGAAG